rnacentral:misc_RNA from 1 species
GAGGAUGAUUAUGCUCCUGUACCUGCAUAAUCAAUUAUUUAAUGAGACGAGACGGGUAAGAGUUUCUAGAUGCACCUGAUGCUCUCUUUUUGUUUUUUUUUUAACCCACCAACCCAAAGAUGCCACAGCAUUUUAAGGGAAGAUUGAAUAGAUACAGUUUAGCUUAGUGCAAAACAUUGGACAGACUAUAGAAGGUAGAAGCUUUCAAAAGAUAGUGAAAUUGUAAUAGGUUUCCCCGCCUUCUU